rnacentral:rRNA from 1 species
GUCCACGCUGUAAACGAUGUCUGCUAGCCGUUGGGAUCCUUGAGGUCUCGGUGGCGCAGCUAACGCGAUAAGCAGACCGCCUGGGGAGUACGGCCGCAAGGUUAAAACUCAAAUGAAUUGACGGGGGCCCGCACAAGCGGUGGAGCAUGUGGUUUAAUUCGAUGCAACGCGAAGAACCUUACCAGGUCUUGACAUCCAGAGAACUGUUCAGAGAUGGACGGGUGCCUUCGGGAGCUCUGAGACAGGUGCUGCAUGGCUGUCGU